rnacentral:tRNA from 1 species
GUCAACAUAGCUCAGCGGUAGAGCAAGCGUUUCAUAAGCGCUAGGUCACAGGUCCGAAUCCUGUUGUUGACA